GACGAACGCUGGCGGCGUGCUUAACACAUGCAAGUCGAACGGAAAGGCCUGCUUUCCCUUGUGGAUUGCGGGUACUCGAGUGGCGAACGGGUGAGUAACACGUGAGUGAUCUGCCCCCAACUUGGGUAUAAGCCUGGGAAACUGGGUCUAAUUCCCGAUAGGACUGCAGGGUGGUGCCUGUGGUGGAAAACGAUUUUCUAGUGGUUGGGGAUGAGCUCGCGGCCUAUCAGCUUGUUGGUGGGGUAAUGGCCUACCAAAGCGGCGACGGGUAGCCGGCCUGAGAGGGUGGACGGCCACAUUGGGACUGAGAUACGGCCCAGACUCCUACGGGAGGCAGCAGUGGGGAAUAUUGCACAAUGGGCGGAAGCCUGAUGCAGCGACGCCGAGUGGGGGAUGACGGCCUUCGGGUUGUAAACUCCUUUCGACCGCGAGGAAGCCACCUGGUUGGAAGGGUGGUGACGGUAGUGGUAGAAGAAGCACCGGCUAACUACGUG
rnacentral:rRNA from 1 species